ACAGAGGCGGCGAGCGUUGUUCGGAUUUACUGGGCGUAAAGGGUGCGUAGGCGGUUCCGCGUGUCGAAUGUGAAAUCUCACAGCUUAACUGUGGAACUGCAUUCGAAACUGCGGGGCUUAGAGUUCAGGAGAGGAGAGCGGAAUUCUUGGUGUAGCGGUGAAAUGCGUAGAUAUCAAGAGGAACACCGGUGGCGAAGGCGGCUCUCUGGACUGAUACUGACGCUGAGGCACUAAAGCUAGGGGAGCAAACAG
rnacentral:rRNA from 1 species